ACUAAAUACUAAAAAACUCAUUACUUUUGGACUAAUAUUCUCUUUGCAUGAAAUAAAUGCAAUGAAACCCUCACGGAAAGCUCAUCCCUUGCAGUACACCAGAGAAUUCACAUUGGAGAGAGAAUUUAUAAACACAGUUAACCGAAGUACACAUCUUGUGCAGCAGCAGUCGAUUCAUACUUGAGUGAAAUCUCAUCAAUCUAAUGAAUAUAUUAAAGCUUUUAUUCUUUCAUCAGAACUCAUAAAACAUAAAUGUACUUUCACAGGAAAAAAGCACAACAAAUGCCUAGCAUAUGGUAAAGCCUUUAGCCAUUGUUCAUCCCUUAUUAAAAAGGCAAAGAGGAUAUACGGGUGAGAAG
rnacentral:lncRNA from 1 species